CAAUUCAUAGUAACAAGUGCCUCGCCAAUGCUUAUGAUUUUUCAUUGAACUUAAUGAUUCUUGCUUGUAUCUCUAUUAUGCAAUUCAUGUAGGGAACUUGUAGGGAAUGCUUUGGGUUGUCGUAUGCAAUUCAUCCAAUUCAAUAACUUAAGGGAAAUCUGAGGGUUAAUUAGUGCAAUUCACGGUUAAUCUGGGGUGUUGGGAAUUCAUGGUUUAUCGAAAAGCAAUUGGAAAUCGUUUUGUAUGCAAGUGUGACAUGUGUGGAGAAGAACCCCUUAGCUAGCUUUCCAUCCAUUCACUUUUAUCAAUUUCGUUUUAGAAUCUGUUCAAUUUACGAAGUUUUGUUUUUGUUUCCAAUUUUGGUCAAAACUCAAUCCCCAUUUAUUUUGAAGUGUUAGUUUAGUUAGAAAUCAAUUUAGUUUGUGUUUUUAAGGGUCUUGAGUCAAGUUAUAACCCAAUUUUGUCCAAUUUAGUGUUAAGUGUUCAAAACUGCCCAUAAAGUGUUUUUGAGGCAGUUUUGAGUGUUUAUUUGCUGUUUUGAGUCUUUUGGUUUGUUUUGGUGUUUUAUAGUUUAGUUUUGUAUUCUUUGAGUUUAGUUUAGUGUUUUAAACUUUGUUUUUACGUUUUGAGUCAGUUUUCAAGUGAUUUGGCAAUCCCUCCUAAUCCCCGACCUAGAACGAUCCCUACUUACAUUCUUUACUACAAUUGAUAAAAAGAGGGUUUAAUUUGUGUGCUUAUAUAUUUCGCAUCACCCAUUUAUUCCUACCCAAAACCAAAACCCAUUAGGUCCUAACCUUAUUUAACCUAAACCUAUACCCUAAUCCGGAUCCAAACCCAAGACCCAUUUCCAAUUCUUGAAAUUCUGUAAUUGGGUAGUUUAAUAAAUUGUACAUUUUUGUGCUUAGGUGAAGUUGCUAGUAGGGAUUUCCUUAAUCCUUUUUCGCACAAUUCUGCUGCUACAGAGUAUCUUUGAGUGGACCCUUUCUAAAAUUUGCAUAAUUUCAUAGUUUAAUUGCAUAAAUGAAAUGCAUGCCUUACGAGUUUAUGAACUGAUUUUUAUGUUAAGCAUGUUUAUGAAAUAUGUUGUUUAUCGUCUUGUUUUUGGUAAGGAAUUAAUUGUUGGCCUAUAUUGAGCUAUAUUUUAAUAUAUCGUAUUUUCUAUAAAAACCAUGAACUGGUAGACUAUCCGAUGGACGACGAUAGGAUGCUAGAACAUGUUUUAGAAACCCCUCUUUAUAGUAUAGACGAUAGAUG
rnacentral:lncRNA from 1 species